AUGAACGCUGGCGGCGUGCCUAAUACAUGCAAGUCGAGCGAACAGACGAGGAGCUUGCUCCUCUGACGUUAGCGGCGGACGGGUGAGUAACACGUGGAUAACCUACCUAUAAGACUGGGAUAACUUCGGGAAACCGGAGCUAAUACCGGACAAUAUAUUGAACCGCAUGGUUCAAUAGUGAAAGACGGUUUUGCUGUCACUUAUAGAUGGAUCCGCGCCGCAUUAGCUAGUUGGUAAGGUAACGGCUUACCAAGGCAACGAUGCGUAGCCGACCUGAGAGGGUGAUCGGCCACACUGGAACUGAGACACGGUCCAGACUCCUACGGGAGGCAGCAGUAGGGAAUCUUCCGCAAUGGGCGAAAGCCUGACGGAGCAACGCCGCGUGAGUGAUGAAGGUCUUCGGAUCGUAAAACUCUGUUAUUAGGGAAGAACAAAUGUGUAAGUAACUAUGCACGUCUUGACGGUACCUAAUCAGAAAGCCACGGCUAACUACGUG
rnacentral:rRNA from 1 species